ensembl:lncRNA
AUGAGUACAAAACGUUUAAAUGCAAAACGUUUAAAUGCAAGACGAGGUGAUAUUAGUCGUAUUCUUACUAAUUAUAUAAGUACCUACAACCGAAACAAUAACAACAACGAGCGUAACUAUACUGAUCGUAGCAAUAAUAACCGUAACAAUACUAAUCGCAAUAACAAUAACGGAAGAAAAAAUCGAAACAGUGUAACAUUAAGUAAUAAUGUUGAUAGUGGAGAAAACGAUACGAUUGACGAAAGUUUUAUUUCUAGUUUUUAUUUAAUGUUGAAAGUUCUUAAGGAUAAUUUAGGUCAAACCUUUGUUGAAAGUAAUAGUAAUGGAAAUCUUGAUAGUACCAAUUGUGAGCGUGCAAAAUCAAAUUUUUUAAAAGACAAAGUUCUUGUUCCAUCUGUACAUAGAGUGAUUGAACUUAUGCAAAAAGAUAACAUACAUAAUAUAAAUGAAAUAAAAUGUUUAUUGAUUAAGUAUGGUUACGAUAUACGUAGAUCUUAUCAUGGUAUAGAUUUAAUGUUUUUUUAUUUAAACAAAAUAACUGGUAUAAAUGUAAAUGUUAUGAUCGAUACAAAUUAUGAAAAUAAUAAAACAAUAUAUGAAGUUUUGUUAAAUAAUUUUAAAUUAUUGAAUUAUGAAGAAGUAGAAAAUAGUUUUUAUAUAAUUAAUUAUUUAAUAGACACAUUUGAAUACAUUGAUUUUAAUUAUAUAUAUAAGAAAUAUGAAUCAUUUUUUAAAUUUACUAAUUUAAUGUUUACUGUAAAUAAUGUUUUUAAUGAUGUAAACAAUGAUCUAACCGAAUCAUUUGUUACCCCUUUUUUUGAUGUAUUAAAUAAUUUAUUUUGUUUUGGUUUAGGUUUAGUAGAUAAUAAUAUAUGGGAAAAUAAACAAGUAGUCCAAGUGAAUAAAUUAAAAUAUAUGUUUGAAGAGUUGUAUAAAACAAUUGGUACACUGUUCAUAAUUGAUCAACAAAUUAUUCAUUCUCCAAAAGACAUGUUUCAAUUUGUUUCUUAUAAUAACUAUUUUUGGUAUAUAUUAUAUAAACAGUACAACUUAUUUUUAACAAAUUACGAUAUAACAAAAAAAAAUAAUUGUCAUCUUUUUAAUUUUUAUUUGUAUCAUUUUUUUAAUUAUGUAUUUGAGUUUCCAUUAGAUAACUUUUUUAAAAUACAAAAUAAAUUACCUAUGCAUAUGGAAGUAGUAGUGGAACAGUUAUUUGAUAAGUUGCAAUUUUUAAAUAAAAAUGAUAAAACAUUAUUUAAAAUUAUUUUACGUUUUUUAUUACAAGAAAAAAAUCAUUUUUACAAUUAUUUUUAUAAUUCCCAGUCGUCUAUAUUAAUGUUUAACGUUAUUAUGUCCUAUAACAAUGUUUGUUUGAAUAAUGCAAAAGAUGAGUUGUUUUCGAAUACGUACACACCGUUGAAUUGUUAUGGCGGUGGAGUGGUGAAUAUGUUCAGUAGUGCAUGUUUAAAAGCUGACAAGGGAUUAGAACAAAACGACAUCCACAAAAAUGUUUUAUCCCUUUUAAACAACGACACAAUUUUAACCGAAACAGAAGAUAUAAACGUAAUAAAAACUACGAAAUCGUUUUAUUUAAAUAAUACAUUAUACAACUUGAAUUAUAUGAUCGAUUCAGAUUACCCAAACAGAUUUGUAAACUAUCAUAAUUCGAACAUAAAUAGCAAAGUGUUUUACAAUUUUUAUAAUAAACCUAUAAUAAAUAUAAAUAAAAAAGAAAAUAAUAAAUUAUUGAAUAUAUAUUUAACAUGUAUAUAUAAUCAUAAUGAACAAUUCAGAAAUAUAAAUAAUUUAUUUUAUAUAUACAGUAACUACUUUUAUAAUUUUUUAAAUAUGUUUAUGUUUUUUGAUGAAAAUAGGGACUUGUUUCAUUCUUUGUUUAAGCUUAGAUUUGAAAAUGACAUGGCAAAAGAGUUAGAUGAUUUUUUUAACAACUACAAAUUAAGGGAUAAUACUAUAACUGGUACAAAUUUGUCUACUGAUAUGAUCGGGUUAGACAUAGAUCCAAGCAUGAUAUCACAGGAUGUUGUAAUAGAACAGGCUAAUAAACUAACGAGUGGUGUACUGCAAAUAAGAGAUGCACAACAAACGAGUGAUGCACAACAAACAAGUGAUACACAACAAACAAGUGAUACACAACAAACAAGUGAUACACAACAAAUAAGAGAUGUACAACGAACUGAAGACAAUAAACGACUAGCUAGCACCUUACCCAAAUCACAAACAAAAUACGACUAUGCUAUUCAUAACUGUGUUAGCGAUGUAUACUAUUUAUAUGAUGGUAUAAUAUACGAUAAAAAUGAAGCAGAUAAUAUGAUUUAUUAUUUUAAAAAAAACAAAGCAUAUUUACAAUUUAUAGAUAAUAAUAACAUAAACGAAAAAGGAGAAUAUGAAUUUUUAUAUAGUAAUAGUAAUAAUAACCCAAAUAAAUACAAUAAUAAAAUAUUAUUAAAAAAGCAAAAAAAUGUUAGUAAUAUUCGUCGUAUUCAUAUUGGUGGAAAAUGUUACAGUACUUAUAACUUUAAAAAUAUACAAUAUGGAUUUACAAAUAAUAAUGAUAUUUUUAAAAAGAAUACAAGCAACAGUAUAAAUAAAUCAAAUACAAAUAAGAAGUCUACACAUGUAACAACUACAAGUUCUACUAAAAAAAACAAUAUGCAAGAAAAUAAAACAAAAGAUCAUUCAAAUACUUUUAAAAAUAAAAAUAAUCAUAAAAAAAAAAAAAAAUGA